GACGAACGCUGGCGGCGUGCUUAACACAUGCAAGUCGAACGGUAAGGCUCCAGCUUGCUGGGGUACACGAGUGGCGAACGGGUGAGUAACACGUGGGUGACCUGCCCUGCACUUCGGGAUAAGCCUGGGAAACUGGGUCUAAUACCGGAUAGGACCGCACCGUGAGGGUGUGGUGGAAAGUUUUUUCGGUGUGGGAUGGGCCCGCGGCCUAUCAGCUUGUUGGUGGGGUAAUGGCCUACCAAGGCGGCGACGGGUAGCCGGCCUGAGAGGGCGGACGGCCACAUUGGGACUGAGACACGGCCCAGACUCCUAAGGGAGGCAGCAGUGGGGAAUAUUGCACAAUGGGCGGAAGCCUGAUGCAGCGACGCCGCGUGGGGGAUGACGGCCUUCGGGUUGUAAACUCCUUUCACCAUCGACGAAGGGUUUCUGACGGUAGAUGGAGAAGAAGCACCGGCUAACUACGUGCCAGCAGCCGCGGUAAUACGUAGGGUGCGAGCGUUGUCCGGAAUUACUGGGCGUAAAGAGCUCGUAGGUGGUUUGUCGCGUCGUCUGUGAAAUUCCGGGGCUUAACUCCGGGCGUGCAGGCGAUACGGGCAUAACUUGAGUACUGUAGGGGAGACUGGAAUUCCUGGUGUAGCGGUGAAAUGCGCAGAUAUCAGGAGGAACACCGGUGGCGAAGGCGGGUCUCUGGGCAGUAACUGACGCUGAGGAGCGAAAGCAUGGGGAGCGAACAGGAUUAGAUACCCUGGUAGUCCAUGCCGUAAACGGUGGGCGCUAGGUGUGGGUUUCCUUCCACGGGAUCCGUGCCGUAGCUAACGCAUUAAGCGCCCCGCCUGGGGAGUACGGCCGCAAGGCUAAAACUCAAAGGAAUUGACGGGGGCCCGCACAAGCGGCGGAGCAUGUGGAUUAAUUCGAUGCAACGCGAAGAACCUUACCUGGGCUUGACAUAUACAGGAUCGCGCCAGAGAUGGUGUUUCCCUUGUGGCUUGUAUACAGGUGGUGCAUGGUUGUCGUCAGCUCGUGUCGUGAGAUGUUGGGUUAAGUCCCGCAACGAGCGCAACCCUUGUCUUAUGUUGCCAGCACGUUGUGGUGGGGACUCGUAAGAAACUGCCGGGGUUAACACGGAGGAAGGUGGGGAUGACGUCAAAUCAUCAUGCCCCUUAUGUCCAGGGCUUCACACAUGCUACAAUGGUCGGUACAGUGGGUUGCCAGUCCGUGAGGGCGAGCUAAUCCCGCAAAGCCGGUCUCAGUUCGGAUCGGGGUCUGCAACUCGACCCCGUGAAGUCGGAGUCGCUAGUAAUCGCAGAUCAGCAACGCUGCGGUGAAUACGUUCCCGGGCCU
rnacentral:rRNA from 1 species